rnacentral:rRNA from 1 species
UACGUAGGGUGCAAGCGUUAUCCGGAAUCACUGGGCUUAAAGCGUGUGUAGGCGGAUCGUUAAGUGUCUUGUGAAAUCCCACGGCUCACCCGUGGAACUGCUGGGCAUACUGGCGAUCUUGGGCCAACUAGGGGCAACUGGAACAAGCGGUGGAGCGGUGAAAUGCGUAGAUAUCGCUUGGAACGCCAAAGGUGAAAACAGGUUGCUGGGGUUGUGCCGACGCUGAGACACGAAAGCCAGGGGAGCAAACGGGG